UCAAGGAUCAAUACUUACAAAUUAAACAGAAUCAGAAGGGGAAAUGAUGCGUAACUUUCUCCUCCUCGUUCUCUUCGCUUGUUUCCUCCUUUCUCCGGCUGCCGCAGACGCCUCUCCUGGACAGAGGGACGACAUUGAAGAAGGCGGUUGGGAAGAGUCCUAUAACAUAGACAAAGCUCAACGGAUCGCCGGGUGGGCGCUCUCCAAACACAACUCGAAUUCUUCCUUUCUCGAUACCUAUUUGAGCCUCGCGGGCAUCGACAGCGUCUACACUCAGGUCGUAUCGGGACAUCUCUACAAGAUUAGGAUGAAGGUCGUCAUUCCGUACUCCAGUGACCCUUCUUCUGAAUACACCUAUGAAACUCUUGUGUGGGAGCAGCCUUGGAUCAACUUUAGGCAAUUGGAAUACCUCCGUGCAGUGUGAUGGGUCGAUCAAAUGAAUGAAAUAAAGGCUCAAUAAAACUAUUUUACCCUGGGUUUCUGACUAUUUGGGCCUCUUUCUGUUUGUAUUUACUGUCUGUUUUUUCUGUACUGUGUUCACCAACAAAAAAUGAAAUGAGAUGUACGCUUAUUUAGUUAAUGUA